UACGUAGGGUGCAAGCGUUGUCCGGAAUUAUUGGGCGUAAAGAGCUCGUAGGCGGUCUGUCACGUCGGCUGUGAAAACCCGGGGCUCAACCCCGGGCCUGCAGUCGAUACGGGCAGACUAGAGUGCGGUAGGGGAGACUGGAAUUCCUGGUGUAGCGGUGAAAUGCGCAGAUAUCAGGAGGAACACCGGUGGCGAAGGCGGCUCACUGGCCCGUUACUGACGCUCAGGCGCGACAGCGUGGGGAUCAAACAGG
rnacentral:rRNA from 1 species